UGACAUGGAGGUUUUUAGAAAACUGAGUGAGGAGGAUGCCAAGAGCACAGAUUCCAGGGUUUUGAAUUACAUUCUGGAUAUAUCAGAGCCCCACCAGAUACUGCCAAAUACUAUACCAUAGAGGGUAAUAGGAAAUAAAGCCCAUAAGGCAACGUGAGUCUGGGUGAUCAGCUGGUAGGUUGACUAGACAGCAAGUGAGAAAAAUCGGGACAAGCGGUGGGGGGUAAUAGGAGUCUAUAUAAGAAAAAGACCCAGUUUUAUAGGGACAGUCCCGAUUUUUGGGGCAUCUGGUCACCCUAUCAGCUGGAGGCUACAUGGGUUUUGCAGCUAGCGAAGGCAAAGGCAGUUGCUGUGUGAAGCCCCACUGUGUUGUACUGUAUGGGCAAUCCAGAUGAGUAACACCUCUUUCCCUCAGGUGAGACUAGAGCCCUUCUCGAGCCAUCUCUGGGCAUUUUCCCAUGCUGCCCACUUUGGGGGGAAGAGUCUCUCUGUCCCUCCUCACAAGCCACUGUCUGCCCUCCCUCAAACCCUCUUCUUCCAAGGUGCCCACAACAAGAGUUUAUACUUGUUACGAAAAGUAAAAUCAAGCCCCCCCCCUCACCCCUCCCAUCUGGAUUCCCCAGUAUGUCACAGCAUUGCCAACCACAUGCAUGUCAGGCCUUAGGGAGAACGGUGAGAUGUAAAGAUCAGAAGUUUGGGGUGCUUUUACCUGCUUUCUCAUGCUGGGGCAGAAGGGAUCAUGUUUGUCAAGCUUCUCUCUGAAACCACAAGGGCUGGGAACUUUUCUCUUGUCAAUGAAAGCCAAGAUUUUCAAGUAAUAACCUGAUUCCAGCAGUUGGGC